rnacentral:sRNA from 1 species
GCCAGGCACAGUGGCCCAUGCCUGUAAUCCCAAUGAUUUAGGAGGCUGAGGCAGGAGGAUUGCAAGUUCAAAUCCAGCCUCAGCAACUUAGUGAGGCGCUAAGCAACUCAGUGAGACCCUGUCUCUA